rnacentral:rRNA from 1 species
UACGAAGGGGGCUAGCGUUGCUCGGAAUGACUGGGCGUAAAGGGCGCGUAGGCGGUUCAUAUAGUCAGAUGUGAAAUUCCUGGGCUCAACCUGGGGGCUGCAUUUGAUACGUGUGGACUAGAGUGGGGAAGAGGGUCGUGGAAUUCCCAGUGUAGAGGUGAAAUUCGUAGAUAUUGGGAAGAACACCGGUGGCGAAGGCGGCGACCUGGUCCUUGACUGACGCUGAGGCGCGAAAGCGUGGGGAGCAAACAGG